rnacentral:rRNA from 1 species
AUGGUGAUGGAUGACCACCAACUCCGGCUACUCCAGAUCCCUCCGCCUAUCCACCCCGAGGAUCCGGAUUCUCCUCUCCCGGAGACCAUCGUCAUCGACUCGUUCGGCUACCUCAGUGACCGCACCAACGCCACCACCGCCAGUGGCCGCAGGAGCAGGACCAAGAAGAAGGGCAAGCGCAUCCUGGUCACCUUCUGGCCGGCUGCCCCACCGCGCGUCUCCUGCUUCACCGUCCAUUGCCCAGAUCUGAAGCCCGAUGCAUUCGCUGACAUGCCCAAGAUCUCCUAUACGGAGGAUGGCCUCGUCCUGCUCAGCAUCACCAUCUGCCCCGUGCGCCAGCACAUGUACACCGAGAACAUCUGCUACUUCGUCUACCAGGCCGGCACCAAGAAGACGCCGCCGUCGGUCAAGCUCGUCCACUCUCCCCCCUACUUCAGGAUCCACGACCAAGAGGUUGCCUUACUGCACUGCCACGACCAAGAGAUGUUCUUCAUCGCCGUGCUCCGCAGGGCCUUCAUUGAUCGGGAGUACACCGAUGGGCACUUUAAUCUCCACCUCUACAACUCCAAGACAAAGGCAUGGAGCAUCAAGUUGAUGCAUCUUGAUUCGCCAAGGAUUUUGAGUUCCACUCUCUGA